UACGUAGGCAGCAAGCGUUGUUCGGAAUUAUUGGGCGUAAAGAGCUCGUAGGCGGUCUGUCGCGUCUGCUGUGAAAACUCGGGGCUUAACCCCGGGCCUGCAGUGGGUACGGGCAGACUAGAGUGCGGUAGGGGAGACUGGAAUUCCUGGUGUAGCGGUGAAAUGCGCAGAUAUCAGGAGGAACACCGGUGGCGAAGGCGGGUCUCUGGGCCGUAACUGACGCUGAGGAGCGAAAGCGUGGGGAGCGAACAGG
rnacentral:rRNA from 1 species